rnacentral:rRNA from 1 species
GAUGAACGCUGGCGGCGUGCCUAAUACAUGCAAGUCGAGCGAACAGACGAGGAGCUUGCUCCUCUGACGUUAGCGGCGGACGGGUGAGUAACACGUGGAUAACCUACCUAUAAGACUGGGAUAACUUCGGGAAACCGGAGCUAAUACCGGAUAAUAUAUUGAACCGCAUGGUUCAAUAGUGAAAGACGGUUUUGCUGUCACUUAUAGAUGGAUCCGCGCGGCAUUAGCUAGUUGGUAAGGUAACGGCUUACCAAGGCAACGAUGCGUAGCCGACCUGAGAGGGGGAUCGGCCACACUGGAACUGAGACACGGCCCAGACGCCGACGGGAGGCAGCAGUCGGGCACCUGCCGCAAUGGGCGAAACCUUGACGGAGCAACGCCGCGUGAGUGAUGAAGGGCUUCGGAUCGUAAAACGCUGUUAUUAGGGAAGAACAAAUGGGUAAGUAACUAUGCACGUCUUGACGGUACCUAAUCAGAAAGCCACGGCGAACUACGU